rnacentral:rRNA from 1 species
AUGUUUGGGGAUUUGAUUACAUGGGACCUUUUCCUUCCUCUAAUGGGUAUACACAUAUUUUGGUUGCUGUUGAUUAUGUUACUAGAAGCUAUUCCAACUAGUAGUGCUAAUCACAAAACCUCUAUUAAAAUGCUUAAGGAAGUUAUUAUCCCAAGGUUUGGAGUCCCUAGAUAUUUAAUGACUGAUGGUGGUUCACACUUUAUUCAUGGUACUUUCUGUAAAAUGCUUGCCAAGUGUGAUGUUAACCAUAGAAUUGCAUCACCUUAUCAUCCUCAGUCAUGUGGUCAACUUGAACUUAACAAUAGAGAAAUAAAAUUAAUCUUGCAAAGGACUGCCGAUAGGUCCCGAAAGAAUUGGUCUAAGAAAUUAGAUGAUGCACUUUGGGCUUAUAGAACAUCAUAUAAAAAUCCCAUGGGUAUGUCUUCUUAUAAAAUGGUUUAUGGAAAAGCUUGUCAUUUGCCUCUUGAAUUAGAACAUAAAGCAUAUUGGGCAAUCAAGGAACUCAACUAUGAUUUCAAACUUGCCGGUGAAAAGAGGUUAUUUGAUAUUAGCUCAUUAGAUGAAUGGAGAACCCAAGCUUAUGAAAAUGCCAAGUUGUUUAAAGAAAAAGUCAAAAGAUGGCAUGAUAAGAGAAUCCAAAAGCGUGAGUUUAAAGUAGGAGAAUAUGUUCUUUUGUACAACUCUCAUUUCAGAUUCUUUGCGGGAAAAAUCCUCUCAAAAUGGGAAGGCCCCUAUGUCAUCAAGGAGGUUUAUCAUUCUGGAGCCAUCAAAAUAAAUAGUGCCGAAGGUACUACCCCGAAGGUUGUUAAUGGGCAGCGAAUAAAACAUUAUAUAUCAGGUACGCCCAUUAAUGCUGAAAGUAAUAUUAUCCAAACUUUUACACGGGAAGAACGCAUAAAAUAG